CUAGUUGGCGGGGUAACGGCCCACCAAGGCAAUGAUGGGUAGCCGGUCUGAGAGGAUGACCGGCCACACGGGGACUGAGACACGGCCCCGACUCCUACGGGAGGCAGCAGUGGGGAAUCUUCCGCAAUGGGCGAAAGCCUGACGGAGCGACGCCGCGUGGGGGACGAAGGCCUUCGGGUCGUAAACCCCUGUCAGAGGGAAAGAAGGGUGCCGGUGUAAAUAGCGCCGGUAUUUGACGGUACCCUCAGAGGAAGCCACGGCCAACUCCGUGCCAGCAGCCGCGGUAAUACGGAGGUGGCAAGCGUUGCUCGGAAUCACUGGGCGUAAAGGGCGCGUAGGCGGGGAGGUAAGUCGGGUGUGAAAUCCCUCGGCCCAACCGAGGAACUGCGCCCGAGACUGCUUCUCUUGAGUCCCGGAGAGGAAGAUGGAAUUCCCGGUGUAGCGGUGAAAUGUGUAGAGAUCGGGAGGAACACCGGUGGCGAAGGCGGUCUUCUGGACGGUGACUGACGCUGAGGCGCGAAAGCGUGGGGAGCAAACGGGAUUAGAUACCCCGGUAGUCCACGCUGUAAACGAUGGGUGCUAGGUGUGGGGGGUAUCGACCCCUCCCGUGCCGAAGCUAACGCAUUAAGCACCCCGCCUGGGGAGUACGGCCGCAAGGUUGAAACUCAAAGGAAUUGACG
rnacentral:rRNA from 1 species